UUAUGUGAAUCCACUUAAAUGAUACUACAAAUGGAGUGAUACAGAGAAGAUGACCAUAGCCCCUGCUAAAGGAUAGCAUGCAAAUUAGUGAAAUGUUCCAUAUUUCA
rnacentral:snRNA from 1 species